UAGGGAAUCUUCGGCAAUGGACGAAAGUCUGACCGAGCAACGCCGCGUGAGUGAAGAAGGUUUUCGGAUCGUAAAACUCUGUUGUUAGAGAAGAACAAGGACGUUAGUAACUGAACGUCCCCUGACGGUAUCUAACCAGAAAGCCACGGCUAACUACGUGCCAGCAGCCGCGGUAAUACGUAGGUGGCAAGCGUUGUCCGGAUUUAUUGGGCGUAAAGCGAGCGCAGGCGGUUUCUUAAGUCUGAUGUGAAAGCCCCCGGCUCAACCGGGGAGGGUCAUUGGAAGCUGGGAGACUUGGGUGCAGAAGAGGAGAGUGGAAUUCCAUGGGUAGCGGUGAAAUGCGUAGAUAUAUGGAGGAACACCGGUGGCGAAGGCGGCUCUCUGGUCUGUAACUGACGCUGAGGCUAGAAAGCGUGGGGAGCAAACAGG
rnacentral:rRNA from 1 species